GCGGGAGUGGCGGAAUCGGUAGACGCACGGGACUUAAAAUCCCGGGACCGCAAGGUCGUGCGGGUUCGAGUCCCGCCUCCCGCA
rnacentral:tRNA from 1 species